ACACUCAAUCGUGUCAUUAUUACUGCAAUGUCACCACUAGAUUUUGUUGCUAUAACACACUACAGGGUGUUGGGCAUUCCACACUUGUUACUUUUUGGGUGCAUAUAGGCACUUGACUGGAGUUAAAAUUAACACCCCAUAGUGUUGAAGUAACAUCAACAGAUUGAUGCAAAGAUAAUCAUUGCAUCAAUCAAGAGUAGAGAAAGGAGAUUGUGGUGGACAUCAAGAGGACCAGACGCUCCCCUCACACUGCUGCACAUUGGAGAAGGAGCAGUGGAAGUGGUUUCCAGCUAUAAGUACCUUGGGGUCCACCUUUCCGAUUAGACUUCACCUGGAGCCAACAACCCGUUUGCUAAAGAAGGCUAAUCAACAUCUUUACUUCCUGCAGAUAUGCCGGACUGCGGAGAUCAAACCUCUACAGAUGUGGUGGAGAGCACUCUCAGCACCAGCCAGCCUCACAGUGUUGCACAGAGGCUGCAGAAAGGAAGGCUUUUCAAAUGAUGGUGAAGGCUAUACAGAAGAUUGUGUGCCAGAAGGGUACAGACCACCUGGCUUCUUUCCGCAAGCUGUAAGACUGUUCAAGUUGAGCAGUGCUGUCGCCCUGAAUUUCGUCCCACCCCAUGGCUAUUCCUCCCUCCACAUUGAACCCUUGAUUCUUCUUUUUUCAAAUACAAACCAUUUGUGAAUAACAUGUACAAUUUUGAUGAUUUUUGCUUCAUCAACACCAUGCAUUUGCAACGUCGCAUACACUCAAAACUGUGAAUAAGCAUCUCCCUUACAGCAGUGGUCCCUGACCGCCGGGCCGCGGGCCUAUACCGGUCAUUUGGUGCCGGGCGGCACAGAAAGAAUAAAUAACUUACAUUC